rnacentral:rRNA from 1 species
CUACUGGAAACGGUAACUAAUACCGCAUAACGUCGCAAGACCAAAGUGAAGGGACCUUCGGGCCUCAUGCCAUCAGAUGUGCCCAGAUGGGAUUAGCUGGUAGGUGGGGUAACGGCUCACCUAGGCGACGAUCCCUAGCUGGUCUGAGAGGAUGACCAGCCACACUGGAACUGAGACACGGUCCAGACUCCUACGGGAGGCAGCAGUGGGGAAUAUUGCACAAUGGGCGCAAGCCUGAUGCAGCCAUGCCGCGUGUGUGAAGAAGGCCUUCGGGUUGUAAAGCACUUUCAGCGGGGAGGAAGG